rnacentral:lncRNA from 10 species
GGAGCAGAUCAAACGGGUGAAGGACUCGGAUGACGUGCCCAUGGUGCUGGUGGGGAACAAGUGUGACCUGGCUGCACGCACUGUGGAAUCUCGGCAGGCUCAGGACCUCGCCCGAAGCUACGGCAUCCCCUACAUCGAGACCUCGGCCAAGACCCGGCAGGGCAGCCGCUCUGGCUCUAGCUCCAGCUCCGGGACCCUCUGGGACCCCCCGGGACCCAUGUGACCCAGCGGCCCCUCGCGCUGUGAGGGGGACUCCCAGGGCGGCCGCCACGCCCACCGGAUGACCCCGGCUCCCCGCCCCUGCCGGUCUCCUGGCCUGCGGUCAGCAGCCUCCCUUGUGCCCCGCCCAGCACAAGCUCAGGACAUGGAGGUGCCGGAUGCAGGAAGGAGGUGCAGACGGAAGGAGGAGGAAGGAAGGACGGAAGCAAGGAAGGAAGGAAGGGCUGCUGGAGCCCAGUCACCCCGGGACCGUGGGCCGAGGUGACUGCAGACCCUCCCAGGGAGGCUGUGCACAGACUGUCUUGAACAUCCCAAAUGCCACCGGAACCCCAGCCCUUAGCUCCCCUCCCAGGCCUCUGUGGGCCCUUGUCGGGCACAGAUGGGAUCACAGUAAAUUAUUGGAUGGUCUUGA